CGCAGAUGGGUAGUUUAGGUAAGUAUCGUUAACGGCGAGACGAACUUAUAGUAAAUAAGCGUUAAAGUUGUUUUAUAAUUUCGGGCUCAGACACCAUAUACACAUCAAUAACGGUUUAUUUAUUGAUAAUUGUUAUUAUAAUUGUUUGGGUUCAUUCGGUCCCUACAGGACCAUUCCGUUUCACAAUCAAUCCUCCCGUUAUCUCUGACAAGAAUCUUCCAAUUUAACGGGCCUUCUAAAGAUACUCACCUCGGCUUUCCCAAAUGUCUUU